rnacentral:rRNA from 1 species
CCUACGGGAGGCAGCAGUGAGGAAUAUUGGUCAAUGGGCGAGAGCCUGAACCAGCCAAGUCGCGUGAGGGAGUACGGCCCUAUGGGUUGUAAACCUCUUUUGUCGGGGAGCAAAAGCCGGACGUGUUCGGGUGUGAGGGUUCCCGGAGAAAAAGGAUCCGGAAACCCCGUGCCAGCAGCCGCGGUAAUACGGAGGAUGCGGGCGUUAACCGGAUUUAUUGGGUUUAAAGGGUGCGCAGGCGGAAGUUUAAGUCAGCGGUAAAAUCGUGGGGCUCAACCCCAUCCAGCCGUUGAAACUGGUGAUCUAGAGUGUGCGAGAGGUAUGCGGAAUGCGUGGUGUAGCGGUGAAAUGCAUAGAUAUCACGCAGAACCCCGAUUGCGAAGGCAGCAUACCGGCGCACAACUGACGCUCAGGCACGAAAGCGUGGGUAUCGAACAGGAUUAGAUACCCUUGUAGUC